GUUCUGCCUUUCAUAGCAUAGGCUGACAAUAUUGAAUGUAGGCCAACCUCUUGUUUCUGACUUUCUGAUGUAUUGUGCACCUGCAGACAAAGGACAAGACAAAUCCGAAUGUACUGCUGGAGAUGUUGUUGCUUUCCCUGCAAGGCCUCUCCAUGUAACAUCCUCAGAUCUGGCUCUCAUCAAAGAAGCCAUCACUCGCAUCCUUCCUCCUUUCUCCAGCCUAAAGCAUGUGCUCUUUACAUAAGAUACAGUCCAAAAAGAACAAGACCUACAGCAUGAGUGACACAAGUUAAUCUUUCAUAAAAUCCUGUCUGAUAAUGGCUUCUUCAUCUCCAGGGUUCACACAAAGGUUUAAUUCCAG